GUUCCCUACGGGAGGCAGCAGUGAGGAAUAUUGGUCAAUGGGCGCGAGCCUGAACCAGCCAAGUAGCGUGAAGGAUGACUGCCCUACGGGUUGUAAACUUCUUUUAUAAAGGAAUAAAGUGAGGCACGUGUGCCUUUUUGUAUGUACUUUAUGAAUAAGGAUCGGCUAACUCCGUGCCAGCAGCCGCGGUAAUACGGAGGCUCCGCGCGUUAUCCGGAUUUAUUGGUUUUAAAGGGAGCGUAGAUGGUUUGUUAAGUCAGUUGUGAUCGUUUGCGGCUCACCCGUAAAAUUGCAUUUGAUACGGG
rnacentral:rRNA from 1 species